rnacentral:lncRNA from 1 species
CUUUUUCCUUUCUCACCUUUCUUACUAUUUUCAGCAUUUUUCUCUUUUUCUCUAUAGAUUACAUCACAAAUCUACAAUCUACCUUCUACAGCUUCAAUUUAAUCACAGGAAUGCAGACUAUGCUUAAGAAAAGGAUAUCAAAUUUACCUUUCAGAUCCCAGUGUCACUGAGGAACGCCAGUAUGGACAGCCUGUCUUAAACCUGGACUUCAGAUCUGAAGCUUGGGAAAAUGGUGAAGCAGCCAUCCAAACACAUAAAGCAUGCAACAGAGAGGCCAGUCUCUUUCUUCAGGUACAAAUAUAUAUAUAUAUACAUAUAUACAUAUAUAUAUAUAUAUAUAUAUAUAUAUAUAUGCUGGAAAUAGAAGGCAUGCAGCGUUGUGGAGCUCUUUGUCUGCU